rnacentral:rRNA from 1 species
GAUGAACGCUGGCGGCGUGCCUAACACAUGCAAGUCGAACGGAGUGGCGGACGGGUGAGUAACACGUGGGCAACCUGGCUCAUAGAGGGGGAUAACAGAGAGAAAUUUCUGCUAAUACCGCAUACUAUGAGAUGGACCCGCGUCGGAUUAGCCAGUUGGAAGGGUAAGAGCCUACCAAAGCGACGAUCAGUAGCCGAUCUGAGCGGAUGAACGGCCACAUUGGGACUGAGACACGGCCCAAACUCCUACGGGAGGCAGCAGUGGGGGAUAUUGCACAAUGGGGGGAACCCUGAUGCAGCGACGCCGCGUGAGUGAUGACGGCCUUCGGGUUGUAAAGCUCUGUUAAUCGGGACGCGGUACCGGAAUAGAAAGCCACGGCUAACUACGUGCCAGCAGCCGCGGUAAUAC